CCUACGGGUGGCAGCAGUGGGGAAUAUUGCACAAUGGGCGCAAGCCUGAUGCAGCCAUGCCGCGUGUGUGAAGAAGGCCUUCGGGUUGUAAAGCACUUUCAGCGGGGAGGAAGGCGGUGAGGUUAAUAACCUCAUCGAUUGACGUUACCCGCAGAAGAAGCACCGGCUAACUCCGUGCCAGCAGCCGCGGUAAUACGGAGGGUGCAAGCGUUAAUCGGAAUUACUGGGCGUAAAGCGCACGCAGGCGGUCUGUCAAGUCGGAUGUGAAAUCCCCGGGCUCAACCUGGGAACUGCAUUCGAAACUGGCAGGCUAGAGUCUUGUAGAGGGGGUAGAAUUCCAGGUGUAGCGGUGAAAUGCGUAGAGAUCUGGAGGAAUACCGGUGGCGAAGGCGGCCCCCUGGACAAAGACUGACGCUCAGGUGCGAAAGCGUGGGGAGCAAACAGGAUUAGAUACCUUGUAGUC
rnacentral:rRNA from 1 species